AAACCGGCCUGCUCGACAGACUGUCUUGC
rnacentral:sRNA from 1 species